AAGAAGUUUUUCCGGCUUCCUUUAAAUAAAUUUUUAUCUCUUGAAACCAUAAUCGACCUUGGUGAGCUUUUUUUUCUGUUUAUUUUGACGAAUAUUUGAUUUAGAGCAUGAUAAGGGAAGUUCAUUUAGGUCACCCUUUGUUAGUCAUUCACAAUUUUUUCUCAAUUUAUUACAGAGAAAAGUCCUCUUUAAUUUUUAUUUAUAUCCAGGCACUAAUAAAUCUAAAUGUAUUCGUUGGAAACUCUCCAAAGAGCUUUUCAAGAUGAUUAAAAGCCUUAUGUCACGUAAGUGACAUAACUGACAUAACAAGCACUUGCGAUCCUCAAAUCUUCCUCAUCUUCUCCUUGUGGGGAAAAAAGCGUGAUUACCAUUUUUAUCAUUUCCACUUUGCCCUCUAGCGCUAGGACUUCACUAUGCAUUCAGCAAUUUGUGUUCAUUAGCACUCAAAAUGCGGUUAACACGGUUUCGAUUAAAUUUUUUUAACGCUGUGUCAAGAGGUUUGGGAGUGAUAACAGAAUGAAAUUGCAGAUCUGCUGCAUUCUCGCCUCGAUUAUCCUGGUGAAAGGACAAAUGGUUCAACUCAGUGUGGAAGCCCAAGCUUCAUAUGUAAAUUUCACCUGCCCGUCAAAGCGGGCAAUACGACCUUGUCAGUGCACGGUUGUUCCUGAUAUUCCUACUGUACAAUGCGGUGGUGUUCGAAGUUUGAAAACCAUUCGUGCUGCUCUAAAGGGAUGGUUAAGAAAUGAUCCUAUCCCGUACUUACAAAUUGUGGAUGCACGGUUUGUUGGGCUACCAUCAAGAGCUUUUGUUUCCGUGAACGUUUCACGUCUUGAGAUAAGAGACUCGAAUUUGAGGUGGGUAGCUAGCGAUGCAUUCAACGGCUUACAUUCACUCAUGAUAUUGAUCUUACAUAACGUAAAACUUAUGACUUUUCCUUCGGAAUCCCUGAGUCACCUAUCAUCGCUUGUUAGCUUACAAUUGCCAAGAAAUAGACUCUCGAGUAUAUCAUAUCAUCAUCUGAGAAGUGCCAAUAAAUUGAAAUUACUUUCUCUGGCUGAAAAUAGAUUGACGUUUGUGGAGAGAGACUCUUUUCCCACCACUCUUGUUUCCCUGACGCUUUCAAAGAAUUAUUUGAGGUCUUUGAACAAGUCUGUUAGAAAUUUGCCAAGACUUGAGUCACUGUCUAUAGAUGACAAUCGAUUAAUUGAUGUAGAAGGGGAGCUUGAUGGUCUUUACAGUUUGAAAUACUUGAAUCUAGCUAGAAAUAUGAUACGCAAUUUAGGAGUUUCUUUACGACAGUUGAGAAAUUUAGAAUUUCUUGAUUUGCAGUAUAAUUCACUUCAUGAAAUAGGAACCUCUUUAAAACAUUUAUCGAAUCUUAAAAGUCUGAACCUCUCAAAAAAUCGAUUGGUUCAUUUGAAUGCGAUUGAUUUUAAUAAACUUUCAAAACUCAAACAUUUAGAUUUAGCUGGAAAUAGUAUUGUAUUUAUCAGUGAAGCUUUUCACCCACUAUUGAGCUUAGAAACACUAGAUUUAUCACAGAAUCUUAUGCGAAAUUUCACUUUUGAUGACGUCAGACUUUUAUCUAAGCUAAAAGUGCUGGACCUAAAUGACAACAGACUGGAAUACUUAAUUUCUGGUUAUAGCUCAAAUAUUUUACAAACAGAAAGGCUGUUUUUUGCCAGAAAUAAAAUAAUUAGUUUGGGUGAGUUUUUAAGACAUUUUGUGUGCCUAGAAAGUAUUGAUUUAAGCUUUAACCAACUACGGAUACUAAAAACUCUGGAUUACACAGUUUCAAAUAACAUGGAGUACAUUUCUGUAUCAGGCAAUCCUUUGAUUUGUGAUGAAGAACAAAUGUCUGUGUAUCAUGAAUUACGAAAUAGGAAUAUAGAAGUUGAUGGUCAACCACAAUGUAACAUUGACGUCAUGCACUUGUAGAAAAUCAUUCUUUAAAUUUGAUACAAGUACAAAUGAAACUAGUCACCUGCAAGAUCUGAAACGGGUAUCUAUCAGUUAGUACUUGCACCGAACAGUAUUGCUUAUCACUUGGAAAUAAAAUGUAUGCUGAGAUUGAGUGGGAGAUUUACGGAGUAUUAGAGUUAUCACGAGUGCUAUGUAAAAUUAUUGUAACUUGAUAAGAAAAAAAAAUUCAUUGAUAUUAUUUAUUUAUUUAUUUAAUUUUGUUUUUAAAAUUAAGAGGACUAUAAAUGAGGGUUGUCGUAUUUUAACCUAGCAACAAAAAGGAAAGAAAACACCUGUUAAAAAAAGCUACUUAAAAGAAAUAACCGUCUAAACUGAAAAAAAAAAAGAAAAGUAGGUGGCCUUCAUUAGAUAUUUUUUUAAUAAAGAGGCAAGAAUGUCAUUUAUUAAUUACAAUAAUAUGACUAGAAUUAAUUUGACACUUACGGAACAGUAUUGCAACGUCAAACAAGCUUGGAAAUUUUUAAGAGCUUGUAUACUUUUAAUGUUAAUCUUGACUUUUUGCAGUGAAUACAAUAAUCUUUGAUAAUUGCUUUCUUUUUGGGAUUCCUAAAAAUCUAGGCUAUUAGAUUUUUAUUUAAAAUGAUGUUUGCAGAAAACCUUACAUUACAAUAAAUGUUUAUAUGUGAAUAGACUGAAUUAAAAAAAGUUUUUAUCGGAAUGUCAAUAUUAUUAUUCUGUUUAAUUGUCCUAUUAUUACUUUUAUAAUAAUGGCAUCAGUUGCAAUACUCAGAAUAACCAUAGUUACGAGUAGAAUAAAGUGUUCCUUAAUUUUUUUUUAAUAGAUGGGAGCAAUUAGUUACGUUACUAAAUAAAAUUUGACAGAUCACCUACUUCAUUUUGAUUUCCCAGCAAUAGAUCAAAGUAAACAGAUCAAAGGUUCCCAGAAGUAUCAAUUUCAAGUUAGAUAAAAACUUCAGAAUAUUAUGCACCUAAAUUGCACUUCCAAUGGUAAUAUUUUAAAACUUGUUAUUUAAACCUGCAACUUACUUAAAAUGAAGUUAGAACCAAACAGCUUUAAUGUUAAUAUUUUUUUUCUUCAAAGAAACUAAUUUUAGCAAAGAUAACUUUAAAUCACGCGUCCCUUUCACAUUUUAACGCAAGAAUUUUUCUUCUUCUUUCCUUUAACAUGUACUAAUACAUUUUUAAAGGUACAACAUAUUCUAAAAGGAUGAGGUUUGAAAAUAUUUAUUCGUAAUAAUCAUAGCAAUAAGUCGUUCAUUUUCUUAAAAAUUUAUAAUGAAAAUUUAUAGUUUUAUUUGUUUAUUUAAUUUCUCAUCAUCGAUAAUAUUAAUGUUUCAUUACAGUAUUACUUUUCACAAAUUACAUGUUUCUGUGCAAAUAUAGGUGUGCAUUUGAAGUUUUGUUUAUGUGUUUCCUUUUAUGUUUUCACGAUCAAUUAUAUGAAUUUAUAUGAAUUAAAUAUCACCUUGAAUAAUUUUUGAUCUAAUGCUCAAAUUUCAUUAUUUAUGAAUCUAAUAAUGUGAUAUUCGUGAAAUGUUAAUUUCAUCAUUAAAAUAAUCUAUAAAUUUUAAAAAAUUGUUGUUUAGGGGGAUCAUUGAAAUUUUUUUUU
rnacentral:misc_RNA from 1 species